AGCGAACGCUGGCGGCGUACUUAACACAUGCAAGUCGAACGAGGGUCGCUACGUGAGCAAUCAUGUGGUGGUUCUAGUGGCGUACGGGUGAGUAACACGUGGGUAACCGUGCCCUCGGAGACCGGGAUACCCUCCCGAAAGGGAGGCUAAUACCGGAUACGUUCCCCAGACCGCGAGAUCGAGGGGAGGAAAGGUGGCGCAAGCUACCGCUCGUUCGGAGGGGCUCGCGACCUAUCAGCUAGGUUGGGAGGUGACGGCUCACCAAGGCGAUGACGGGUAGCUGGUCUGAGAGGACGACCAGCCACACGGGGACUGAGACA
rnacentral:rRNA from 1 species